rnacentral:rRNA from 1 species
UACGGAGGGGGCUAGCGUUAUUCGGAAUUACUGGGCGUAAAGCGCACGUAGGCGGCUUUGUAAGUAAGAGGUGAAAGCCCGGAGCUCAACUCCGGAACUGCCUUUUAGACUGCAUCGCUUGAAUCCAGGAGAGGAGAGUGGAAUUCCUGGUGUAGCGGUGAAAUGCGCAGAUAUCAGGAAGAACACCAAUGGCGAAAGCAGCUCUCUGGGACGGUACUGACGCUGAGACGCGAAAGCGUGGGGAGCGAACAGG